rnacentral:rRNA from 1 species
GCCUACGGGAGGCAGCAGUGAGGAAUAUUGGUCAAUGGUCGGGAGACUGAACCAGCCAAGCCGCGUGAGGGAUGAAGGUACAGAGUAUCGUAAACCUCUUCUGUCAGGGAACAAAGGCGGGGACGUGUCCCCGGAUGAGUGUACCUGAAGAAAAAGCAUCGGCUAACUCCGUGCCAGCAGCCGCGGUAAUACGGAGGAUGCGAGCGUUAUCCGGAUUUAUUGGGUUUAAAGGGUGCGCAGGCGGUCUGUUAAGUCAGCGGUCAAAGCCCGGGGCUCAACCCCGGCCCGCCGCUGAAACUGGCAGU